AAUUAAGACAGCUGUGGCCUGUGGGUCCUAAAUUAGAGCGCACCCUUACCUCUCUUGCAGCCUGUUCAAUUCAUCGCUAAUGUUGGAUGUUCUGCGCCUUGGACGGUCAUUCUGAUGAAUGAUAACCAGGACAGUUCUUUUACAUCGCGAUGGGUAGAUUAUGCAGCAAGAGAUGUGAGUGUUGGGCUUGAAUAUGAAAGGCAAAACUGAGCCCUCUUUUGCUACGCUACAAAUAUUCGAUUUUACCUUCUCUACUAUGCACUGUUUUUUCUUUUCUAUUCCUCUCUAUUGUGUUGAUGUGACUAACGGCCCAUCUGGACUUGGUGAUGAAGCCAACCGCCCUAGCUUGGAUUGAUUUCCAGCUGGCUUUGUUUUUGCCUGUAUAGUUGUACAAACUAUAUAUGUCGAACACAGUAUUGUUUUUGACUUGGAUAUCUACCUUAUGUUUUUCUUCUUUUCCAAAAUGGAAAAUUUAUAUUGUCCUGUUUUUAUUUGGCUUGCAGUUACUCCUUUUAUCUGAAGUGAAGAAAUGUAAAUUGCUUCUUUCAUUGCUAGUAAUACAGCCAUCAGCAUAGUGUUCCAAAUUAACUUUUGAACACAGCAUAUUUGUUUCUGUUCUGUGUUGAUGAGUUAUAUUCUUUUCUGAAUGGCUAUGAUGAUUUCCUCCUCUUUGGUGUUGGAGAUAUUUCAACAUAUCCUGAGAUAGAGAUGAUUGGUUCCAUUCAAUUUUCCCAGUUAGACAGUUAGUCGUUAUACUAGGAGGCCUUGCUCUGCAGCAAGUUACCAGUUGCGGCUAUUUGUUGCUGGGUGGGGAAAGAGAGAGAGAGAGAGAGAUGGUAAGGAGAGACCUGAAGGACUGGAAUAUCACCAAAGAACUAACCAUGGGCAGGGGUGCAUGGAAAUUAGCUAUCCACAUGCCUAUCCCAACUUGUUUGGGACUGAAAGGCUUUGUUGUUGUUGUUGUUGUUGUUUAGUACCGAAAGGCCUUGAGUACUACCUGAAGCAUUUUUCCAGCUUCGGUGAUUUAUGGUGGGUUAAAUCUGAGCCAUUCAAGCAAUACUCCACAAUUUUCCUGGAUUUUGCAAACUAUUCCUCGUGCACGUGUCUGAUACUUCUACUACUGUUUGAUUAUGGUAAUUUGAUCAGUGAGUACUUUUGGAAUAUACUCCAGAAAACAGCUUGAUUUUCCCUAAUACCUUUAAUUAGUUUCUUCUUGAUUUUAAGGAUACCAGUUCGGCAACUGUGAAUGGUCAUUGCUAAAUUUAAGUUGUAUAUAUUCUGUACAUUGUGGUCCUGUAGCUUGAAAAAGGAACUUGGCAUUACCUCUGGCUUUGGUUCUUUGUUAUGGCUCUGGUUCUUUGUGUGGACCUUCUGGGGAGGUGAGAUAGCGUGAAAUCUUUUUAUUGAACCAAUUUAAAAGCAGAUUCUUAUUGAUGCUAUCUUUCAGUUUUUUUGGUCCUAUUUUCGCAUCCAUUGUCAAAUUUUCUUCUAUUGAUAUUUGCCAUUGUAGUCCUUAACUUCCACUAUGAAUGCAUGCCAUCCUUAUUCCCUUGUAAAGCUUCAUCUGUGAGGGAGAGGCAUCAAUGAGGAAGGAUGCUGGUGGUGACGCCUGCCGUCUGUCUCCCUAUCAAUUUGACUUGAUAAUUUCAUUCUUCUGCUGUACUCUUUAUCUACUUAUCAGUUGGUACUUUUGGUUUCUCGUUACUUCUUUACUGGUUUCAAGUUUCAACUUAAGGGUCGUAUAUGGCAAGUUAAGAUUACUGUUUUCUUCAUGUCAUGUUCAUUGGCUGUGAUGAUAUAGCUUCCCUGCGAGAGCUUCUAUCUAACACCGUAUUGAUUCACUUGGUGCUAAACUAGGAUGGCUUGUGUCACAGCAAGUAACCAGUUUAGCGGCUAACUAUUACUCCCUCCGUUCACAAAUAUAAAUGUUCAUGGUCAUUCUACCAGAAAUUCAGUUAUGGUGUUGAGAUGGGAGUGUAUCUGAGCCAUUUACUUACACAUGUCCCAGUUUUUGUGUCCACCAGUUCAUGAUUUGCUCCUGAUAUAGUGAUUAUUUCUGCUAUUACUGAUUCUCCUGUGGUGUCUGGUCAUCUUGCGGCUCUUUGACUAUUGGCUUCUCUGUUAUUCUCUUUGUGGGAUUUGUGCCAAGUGCUGUUAUGGUGUUGAGAAAUGCUCACAGCGAACUGGAUGUUGAGCUAUUUUACACUUUACAUACUCAGAAUGCUUUGAAUUACUGAUGCAUCGAGAGGUUCUACUUUGUUUGAAUAGAAAACAAUCCUGUGUGCCGAAGGCCCUGGGAGGCGGCAGAGGGCUUCACAUCUUUUGUUCGAACAAUGCUAUUAUUUGCAACUGUUCUGUUUCUUUGCUUAGUGUUCCGUUUAGUCGUUCCUGCAUGAUUUUCUUCCCUUUCAUACUUUUAUAUUGUAUAAAUUGUGCUACGCUGCUGCUCUUCUUCGUUCAUGCAUUUGCUGCACUAUGGCACCUCAAGCGUCAGCAAAAAGAUAUUACAUUUGGUCUUUGAUGUCAUCAUAUGUUUAUUUAGUUCUGAGUCUGCCCAUUUAUUUUUGGUAUAAAUCAUGUGCAACCUAAUCUGCAGGGCGCGUGGCUGUCCAAAAUCAAGCUCCCCAACAACUGGACAAUGGAGCACAUCCGGCAGCUUGUCACGCUUUGGGCUCGGCUGAGGGCCAUCCCCCUCGCGGUGGACGCCGAGGACACCAUCACCUGGAAACAUACUGCCAGCGGAAUCUACUCUGCCACAUCCGCGUACAGUGCGCAACUCCUUGGGCUGGUCAGCUCGCCCAUGGGCUUCGCCGUUUGGAAAGCAUGGGCUCCCCCUAAGAUGAAAUUCUUUGCUUGGCUGGCAAUCCAAAACCGAGUCUGGACGGCGGAUAGAUUGGAGAGGAGAGGGUGGCCGAACUGCGGCCUAUGUCCACUCUGCAAGCAGACGUUGGAAACGGCGAGCCACAUCUUCUUCAAGUGUCGGUACUCCAUUAGACUGUGGGGCCUGAUCAAAGGCUGGCUCAAGCUAGACUACCUCGACAUCUCCUCCUGGAUCACGAUGCGCUCCAUCAAGGACUGCUGGCUCAACAUGUCCAACUCCAGCAUGCCCAACCGGAAGGCGAUGGCUUCUCUUGCUAUGCUGACCUGCUGGACCAUUUGGUGCGAGAGAAAUGCACGGGUGUUUCGUCACAAAUCCACGCUUCCGUCUGUAUUGUUCUCCAACAUUAAGACCGACGCCAACCUUUGGGUAAUUGCGGGUGCUAAGCACUUGGGUCAAAUCAUGCCGGGAGAGUAGUGGCUUUGUAAUAUUUUCUUUCGCUUUUCUUGUAAAAGCAACUCUAAACUCCUUAAUUAAUGGAUGAGGCGAAGCUUUUGCCUCCGUUUCGAAAAAAAAUAAUCUGCAGCACUCCCUUUGUUUCUAUGUUUGCCUCUUUUGUGUUGCCCUCUUUCUAUGCGCCGUUGAUACUUCCAGUAAUAUGUGAUUUGAACUUGAGUGUACUUCACAUGAUCUCCUGUGUAGUUAAUUCCUCAGCUUUCCGUGGGUAACUUUUGAACUGCUACUUUAAUGACAUAUUUUUCGUGUAAUGUGUGGGAAUUUAAGUGCUCGCCUAGAAAUCUCAAUAUUAGAUAUUCACAUGCACGGCAUUUACGUGUGGCUCUGAUGAGUUCUGAUGAUGCUCCGUCAUGUAUUCUGGCGACGUAAUAAUAAAUAUGCCUUGGAGCAGCAGUGAAGCUUUUUAACACGUCGUCUUCCUCUGUACGGGUGUCUGGUCAAAUAUGCUUGGUCAUCUGUUUGAGAUUGGGAUCAGCAGCCGUAGAAAAUGCAGGGCAAAGGAUUUAGAAGGGCUUUCUUGUAAUUUUAUAUCAACAGAUGCAACUGAGUGUGAGUGCAUAUGAGCAUUAAGAAUUACGCAUGAGCCCUCAACGCAACUGUACUAUCAUACAAUAUGUAUAUAUGAUACAGUAUUAUUCCUCUUUUUCAUCUUUGAAACUAGUUCUUGUAUUUGUACCUUUUUGUUUCUGGCAGAGUUACGUGCCUACAUUCUUACUCCCAGAACUUGAUGGCUGUUGUAAAUAGAAGUACACUUGUUCCUCUUGUUGCCGGUGCUUGCUAAACUGAUUAUCUGUUUGAUGAGUCUAGACUAUUUUCUCCUCAUAUACAUGUUCAGUUUUGCUUAACAAAAGGAUAUUGUCCAGUGAUUUUCUUCAAUACCAAAAUACCUAUUCGUACGGACUACGGAAGGUUGCACGUAGAUACGAGAGUGAGCGAGACAAGUUGAAAGAGACCGGGAGUAGGUUGAUAAACUUACUUGCACAUUUGGAAUCGGAGAUAUUGUACUUGUUUACGCUUAUUUUUAUUUACUAAAACCUAGCUCAGCCAAUACUACUCCCUCCGUCCAGAAAAGUUUGUCUUUUUGGGGACAGAGGUAAUAUAACAGAAAUGCAACGAGAACGGCAUUUUGGAGCUCGGCCUCUAUGGAGGCUGAAUUUUGAAAAAUUCAAAAUUCAUACUUUCCGGUUUCACAAAAAUCUGUAAAAGAUUAUACAAGCAUACAGGAUGCGAUGUGUAUGUGUGUAAAAUUUCAUGAUCCAAAAGCAAUUUUCGAAAUGCAACCAUCUAAAAAAA
rnacentral:lncRNA from 1 species